UAGCUCUUCUCUGCUGCUGCUACCAGUGGUGCUGCCACCACUAUCGCCGCCGCCGUUGUUGUUCUUGUUCAUUCCAGUUUUUAUUAUGAGCCUUCUCAUUUUCUUGGCCUUGUCCCCAUCUCAUGAACCCCAUAUUGCUGUCAUCACUACUGUUUGAUAACGGAACAAGAAUCAUUGAUUCUUCCUCAAUAAUUGCUUUGCUUGAAUGGCCAUGUCUGAGUUCAAGAAAAGCAUGUACAUAGAGGAUGACCAAUGGAAAGGUAGCAAGCAAGAAAAGGUCAGAUUUGUGUACAUGUAAGUGUCUGGAAUUUUCCUUUCUCCAAAUAAUCCAAGAUCUGUACGUGAAAUUGAUUCUUUCUUUUCUAUUUUAUGUCUAUAUUUUGAUUACACUGCAAGAAAGAAAGUAUAUGGAUUGACCAUGGUACCAUCUUCUCAGUUUCUUUUUUCUUUUUUCUUUCUUUCAAGAAAAGAAAAGGAUAAACAUAUAAAUAUCUAAUUCAUCUUUCAGAAGGAAAUUUGAUGAAGAAUACAUUAUGAUGAUACAAAAAAGAAAAAUGCAUUAUCAUUUUGAUAAUAAUAUGAG
rnacentral:lncRNA from 1 species